UUGACCUCGAAUCAGGUAGGGAUACCCGCUGAACUUAAGCAUAUCAAUAAGCGGAGGAAAAGAAACCAACCGGGAUUACCUCAGUAACGGCGAGUGAAGCGGUAACAGCUCAAAUUUGAAAUCUGGCUCCUGCGGAGUCCGAGUUGUAAUUUGUAGAAGAUGCUUUGGGAGGUAGGGCCGGCCUAAGUUCCUUGGAACAGGACAUCAGAGAGGGUGAGAAUCCCGUAUGCGGCCGCGGCCUACGCCCGUGUAAAGCUCUUUCGACGAGUCGAGUUGUUUGGGAAUGCAGCUCAAAAUGGGUGGUAAAUUUCAUCUAAAGCUAAAUAUUGGCCAGAGACCGAUAGCGCACAAGUAGAGUGAUCGAAAGAUGAAAAGCACUUUGGAAAGAGAGUUAAACAGUACGUGAAAUUGUUGAAAGGGAAGCGCUUGCACCCAGACUUGGGCGUCGUCGAUCAUCCGAGGUUCUCCUCGGUGCACUCGACGAUGCACAGGCCAGCAUCGGUUUGGGUGGUUGGAGAAAGGCUCUAGGAACGUAGCUCUCUUCGGGGAGUGUUAUAGCCUAGGGCGUAAUGCAGCCCAUCCGGACCGAGGACCGCGCCUUCGGGCUAGGAUGCUGGCGUAAUGGUUGCAAGCGACCCGUCUUGAAACACGGACCAAGGAGUCUAACAUCUAUGCGAGUGUUUGGGCGUUAAACCCAUACGCGGAAUGAAAGUGAACGUAGGUGAGAACCCGUUAGGGUGCAUCAUCG
rnacentral:rRNA from 1 species